rnacentral:rRNA from 1 species
AAAUUGAAGAGUUUGAUCAUGGCUCAGAUUGAACGCUGGCGGCAGGCCUAACACAUGCAAGUCGAACGGUAGCACAGAGAGCUUGCUCUCGGGUGACGAGUGGCGGACGGGUGAGUAAUGUCUGGGAAACUGCCUGAUGGAGGGGGAUAACUACUGGAAACGGUGGCUAAUACCGCAUAACGUCGCAAGACCAAAGAGGGGGACCUUCGGGCCUCUUGCCAUCAGAUGUGCCCAGAUGGGAUUAGCUAGUUGGUGAGGUAACGGCUCACCAA